UACUGAGGAAUCAAACCCAGGGCUUCAUGCGUGCUAGGCAAGCAUAUCACUAAGCCACAUUCCCAGACCCAAGUGUUGUUCAGUCAGCAGUUUAGUUCCACUCUGAGUUCACCCUGGCUGUUGAAAAGGAUUGAAAGAACAAAUUUUCUUUGGCUACUUCUCCAAUACUCUCUAAAGUCUAAUGGGGUACAGGGACAAUGAAAAGUGCACCCAAAUAACAAUAAGCAGCAGCUAACAGGACAGAGAAAUGAAAACACUUCUAAUAAAUACACCAGAGCUGGGUACUAGUGGCUCUCACCUGUAACCAUAGCUGCUCAGGAGGCUGAAAUCUAAGAAGCAUGGUUCAAAACCAUCCUAGGCAGACAAAUCCAUAAGCCUCUUAGCUCCUAUUAAUUACUAAAGGCCAGAAGGGCAGUUAUAACUCAAAUGGUAAAGCACCAACCUUCAGCAGAAAAGCUAAGGGACAGUUAGCAUCUAAGCCCUGAGUUCAAGUCCCAGUACUGGCACACACAUAUUACACUUAAUAUUAGCUCCAAUAAUUUGAGAAUUGCCUGUGCAUUAUUACAGAAGAUAAACUACAUGCCAUACUCCAUUUGUUUUAGCCCAUGAUCUUAAGUGCUAAAGCAAUGCUGUGUAUAUAAAUACAUGUGUGUGUGUG